rnacentral:lncRNA from 1 species
AAGUCAGUGUUGCAAGCUAGUGAUAUAAUAAAUGAUGCAAACAUUGGUAGUCCAUGGACUACAAGACAAUAAAGUUUUAACCGGCCAUGCAUUUCUGCCGCACUGAAAGUUUGACCCACAAGUAGAGACUUUUGAAGAAUGCCAAAAAGCAACCGCACCACUUAUUCAAGUACCGUUGCAGAAAAUUAACAAAGGUUUCUGCCAUUUUACUUGUGACCAGACAAUGAGGUCAGACAUGCGCAUUGAAAUUUCAGUACAUGUGAUCCCGACUUUGCUCCUGUGAAUCCAUCUGGUACUUGGUGUCGCAUUCGAGCGCAAGAGAUGCCUCGAU